rnacentral:rRNA from 1 species
GACGUAGGAUGCAAGCGUUGUCCGGAUUUAUUGGGCGUAAAGAGUUCGUAGGUGGUUUGUUAAGUUUGAUGUUAAAGACUGAGGCUCAACUUCGGAAGUGCAUUGAAUACUGACAGACUCGAGUGUAGUAGAGGCGAGUGGAAUUCCCAGUGUAGCGGUGAAAUGCGUAGAUAUUGGGAAGAACACCGGUGGCGUAGGCGACUCGCUGGGCUACAACUGACACUGAGGAACGAAAGCCAGGGGAGCAAAUGG